rnacentral:ncRNA from 1 species
GAUAGGUGACCGUCGCUACAGUGAUUGGACACUGACGCAGAGUCAACUAGCCUUGGUCACACGGUUCUUCGCACGCGCAGAACCGGGACGGUCCGAGCCACGAGGGGGGAGACUCGGACCGUCCGUC